UUCCUACAUAUUGGGUAAUGUUAUAAUUCUUUUUUCUACUCACCUAUGUAUCCCAGUACUGCAGUAGAUCUUGGCAGAGUCCAGAUGCCCACCUCCUAGAAGAUUCAUUCUAGUACCGGCAUAAGAGUAUUAGAUCUUCUUCCUUGACCUUGCUGGCAGAUGCCUGUAAAUUUGUGUCUUGGGAUCAUUUAGACCCCUCUGUUACUACUGUCAGGUUUUUUUUAAUUUUAGCUUUUCAUUAUCUGGGUCUUAUCAGACAUCAAUAGCAGAGUACUACAUGCUAGGAAAAUUCCUCUGCAAAGUGAAAUUUAUGUACCCCCUUGAAAGACUGAGCAAAAAUGGUUUUGCAUAGUGAAAUAUGUAGAAAUUGGUGGGGUUGGAUCAGAAUUCAAAGCUCUACUCCCAGUGCCCUGAAGUCCUCAAGCCUAUGGCUUAUAAAAAUGGCUGUUUCCUCUUUACAUCACUAAGGCAGGAUUAAUUAUUCAGGAUAUGGGAAAGUACAAAUGCUCCCUUUUUGCUUCCCUUUUUACCUUGCUUAGAUAUUCCUGCCUUUGCUGGUAUAUUUGAAAACAGAACAGAGUCUGUAUCCCAGGCACACAGCACCAUUUCCCAUGUACCUGGCCACUUGAAGCUUCUGUGUUGCAGGAACUUGAAGUAGGCUCUAUGCAAAUGAAAUGACCUCACUCAAGAUGUAUAGGCCUUCAUCACUCUAGUAAACAAAAGAAGAGGGGGAGGGGGGAGAAUCUCUUAGCGUACCGGUUUUAUGUGUAAGCAACACACAUCCCCAUUAAUGAGCUAAGUAUACUUUCUGAACAAGAACUAAAAUGUAUAGCCUCUCUAAUGUGCAAUGAACUUGCAUAUUUUACCAUGGAUGCACGGAAAGCAUAUGGAUUCUAUCACUUUAUUAUAUUCUGGACUGCCUUCCUUCCCUAAUAAAAAAAUGUACCAAUAUGACCACUGUCAGUCAGAGUCUGAAACUGAAAGAGUUUUGUCUUUAGGGUUUAUGGUUUCAUUACGUUAUUAAAAGAACAACACCAGGAUGAUGUAAUUAUAAAACACAAUAUUACUAAAUGCAAAAAUAUUUACAUUAUUGCUGCAGAGAGUCAUGUGGCAAGACAGAAAACCCGUUUUGAUAUGGAUAUUUUCUUUGAGUUUGAAAAACAUGUAUUUCAAUAACUAAAUGUGAUCAAUUUACCACAGGAAGGAAAUUCAGCAAUUUAGAUAUUCUUCCAAGUGUAUUCACAGAAUGUGGAAAUUACAUUGGAACACUGAAAAAAAAUCCUGAAUAUAGACUUCCAGAAGAUUUCCAAUACUUUCUGAGUGCCAAAAAUCCUGUUUGAAUAAUCUUACUUUCAUUUCAGUGCAAUUGCUUGGACUGGAAGUGGAAAGGCACAUUAAUCAAGCAAAUGUACCUUAAAACUUGAAUGAAGGUACAGUUUAUGUUUCAAGGAAAAAUCAGACUAGGCUUCCUUAGUGAAAACUUUGUUAGUCUACUGAGGUUCAGAGCAUCAUAUGUGAUAUUAGGUACAGUAUGAAUAGCUAACAUCAGAAGAUUAACUUUAUUUCUAACAUUCCUUUAAUUUUUGUGGGUUUAGUUUCUUUAAUAGUCCUCCAGGAAAAGCAACUCAGCAGGCUGUACUGUCUUUGAUUCAGGGCUUGGAACUUGGGCUAGAACCAAAGUUUCCAGCUGAAACCAAUGCUCGUGGACACUAAUUUACAGUCUUCUGAAAAGUGCAUUCAUAAUGACAGUAAUGACACAGGAACUGAUUUAUUAUCAUUAUGCUCUCAAGCAUUGGGAGUUAAGAGUCUCAAGUAAAUUCUUUGAAAGCAAGCAAACAAGGACACAUCUGUAAUUAUAGAGCCUCAUGGAAGAGAUUCAGAAAUGCAAGUUCUGUGAAAUGCAAAGGAACAACGGCCGUGCAUGAUGCAUCAGAAGAGCACAAACAAAACAAGACUGUUAAGCCCCAGAAACUGGAUCAGCUAAGCGGCAGACUCAGUAACAGUAAAUGAAGUGCUGUAAGCUUACAUCAGACUAAUUAGUCUGAGGGAUAAAAUAGGGGGAGAAACUUUUCAGGUUGCUUUGUGAAAGGCAGUUUGCUUAAUUAAGCCAACCACUAAUUGUUAAAUAUUUUUCAGGCAUUAACAGAGCUACGCCGAAUGUAAUUAAAUUUUGAUUUUAGUGGUAUUUGCUGGGAUUAAAGUCGCAAUCUGCUGAGGCGCUAGGGUUAGUUAAUAUUCACUUCACUGCCACAGCUGUCCUCCAUUACAUUACAAAGGACAGGAAAAGAGACAGCAGAAUAGGGUGAAGUAAUGAGAAAGCUAUUCAUUCAUUUGAACCAGCUUCACACUGUACAGUCUUGUACAAAUGGAUCCGAUCUGCAUGACACACAACUAGGCAUUAAAUCCGAUUUAAUUUGAUACAAUAAAGGAAAGCCUAAGCUCUAAUGCAUUUUUUAUUUUUAUACUUAAGCACUAUGCAGUGUAUCAAAAAUAUAAUCAUAUGAUUAUCAUAUGAUUCCAUUCAAGUGGUAUUUCUAGACUUAUUAGCUCUACAGGAGUCCACAAGGAUUGUAAACCAAUUCCUGCUAAGCUGUUAUUUGUCCCAUGUGUGUCUGAAUGAACCCUUCACAUCUGUGGACUGUGACUUUGAGUCCCCAGUAGAAUAUUUACCGGCAGGAUCAAUGUUUUAAGAUUUUUUCUGAGCUGCAAAAAGAUUGAGCUAGUGGAGGAGUCACAUGGCCUGGGAACAGAUGACCAAUCUCCUAAAGGCUGAGGUAUUUCCUAGCCACUCCCACAGGGAGAAUCCAUGCUAAUGAUUCUUAAAGCUUACUCUAUUUUCUCCAGGGUUACCAUCAAUGGCCUUUAGAAAGCAUUAAUGUUGGGUAGGGUUUUGAUACUACAUUUAUCUUGCCCAGAAAUGACUAAUUCAAUUGUGAAGUACAUUAAUGUUAAAUAUUAUAGUCCUCUCCUUCAAGUAAUUUUUAUACCACAAUAUUAUAUCAAAUGAUCGGUGUCACAGCACAAUCUGCAAACAGAUCUUAGGGACCUGAAUCAAUAUUUUCAGAAAAUAGUGCUGAUUAUUGGGUGCAAGAAAGAGCCUAGAUCCUUCCUCUGUCAGUGAUUUGAUAAACCAAAGUUCCCAUGUUAGUAUGUGCAGAUAGGCCUGCAGGUCAGAGAGAGUUGAUUAUUACUCUCUCUUUUCCUGUUUUUGUUUUGUGUCCUUCACUAGGAAAGUCUGUCUUGGUGUAAUUUGUAAGGCCUGGACUCAGACUUUAGGGCUAUAUCUGCUGAGAGCAACACCUCUAAGUUCUUUGCUGUUGAACAGCUUACUUGACCAGUGGCUUCUUAAUUACCAAACUUUUGACAGCACUGGGGCACACAUAGUCCUUUUCUUUUUUGCUUCUCUGUAUAAUCAAGCUGCAAAAAGGCAUUCUAUAUGUCAACAUCUCAGUCAGGCCAUCACAGGGUCUCAGCUUAUCUUGUAGGCUUUAAAGGUCCAAUUGUUUGAUUUGGAACGGCCACACACCAUCAGAAUGCUGUCAUUUUUCCAGGUCAGAAGCACUUCAGACUUUACCAAGCAUUUUGAACUGGGCUUAAUAUUGUCAUCUGGAAGAGAAGAGAGGAGAGGAAGCUACUGGUAAUAAAGAAUCUUUCAUGAUGCUCUCAAUGGCUGGAAUAUUCAGCAAAUCAAUUUUCUCAUUUGUACUGCCUUUUAAUUGCAGCAAUGGGAAGAAUGAUCUCCCCACCAAGAUGCCACUUCUGGUGCUACAUUCAUAACUCAUAAUGGUUUUACUUGCCUACUCUCGUCUUCUUACUGAUGUUGCUGUUCCUCUCCAGUCCUUCAGUGUUGCACUAGUGGGCACAGACAGAAGUGAC